rnacentral:rRNA from 1 species
UUAUCCGGAUUUACUGGGUGUAAAGGGAGCGUAGACGGAGCAGCAAGUCUGAUGUGAAAACCCGGGGCUCAACCCCGGGACUGCAUUGGAAACUGUUGAUCUGGAGUGCCGGAGAGGUAAGCGGAAUUCCUAGUGUAGCGGUGAAAUGCGUAGAUAUUAGGAGGAACACCAGUGGCGAAGGCGGCUUACUGGACGGUAACUGACGUUGAGGCUCGAAAGCGUGGGGAGCAAACAGGAUUAGAUACCCUGGUAGUCCACGCCGUAAACGAUGACUACUAGGUGUCGGGUGGCAAAGCCAUUCGGUGCCGCAGCCAACGCAAUAAGUAGUCCACCUGGGGAGUACGUUCGCAAGAAUGAAACUCCAAAGGGAAUUGACGGGGACCCGCACAAGCGGUGGAACAUGUGGUUUAAUUCCAAGCAACGCCAAGAACCUUACCUGCUCUUGGACAUCCCGGUGACGGCA